ACCUUCCCGCACAGCAGCCCCAGCCAUGGCACUGUUCACCCCCACCUGGCUGCGGCUGCCCACCUCCCUGCCCAGCCUCACCUCUACACCUACACAGCGCCCACAGCCCUAGGCUCCACCAGCACUGUAGCCCACCUGGUGGCAUCCCAAGGCUCAGCACGACACACCGUGCAGCACACUGCCUAUCCGGCCAGCAUCGUCCACCAGGUCCCCGUGAGCAUGGGGCCCCGGGUCCUGCCCUCGCCCACCAUUCACCCCAGUCAGUAUCCGGCCCAGUUUGCCCACCAGACCUAUAUCAGCGCCUCGCCAGCCUCCACCGUCUACACUGGAUAUCCACUGAGUCCUGCCAAGGUCAACCAAUACCCUUACAUAUAAACACUGGAGGAGGCCCGCCAGGGAGGAGGGUGGAGGAGCUCCCAGACCGACCUGGGGAGCUGGGAAUUUCUACUGCAGGUGCCGCACACAAACAAUGCAAAUGGGGCAGGGAGGGGGGCAGUUGGGGCACAAAUGAAACUUGAACUAGGAAGUGGGAGGACUUAGAGCGGAAAAGAGAACAUUUUAAAAGGAGGGGUUUAAGGAGGGGAAAUCUAUGCUUUUUAUUUUAAAAAAGAAAAAGGAAAAAAGAAAAAGAAAAAUGUUAGUAACAAAAGAGGAAAAAAAAGAAAAAACCACAGCUCACAAACCCAUUCUGCACCAAACUGGAAAGGAGGAGGAGUGGAAGACUGGAAGCAAGGCCCAGUUUUUGAAGAACUUUAUGAACUUUUUAAAGAUUAUUUUCAUAUGGCAGCAAGUGUCAUUGAAGAAUUUGCUGUCAGGGACACCUGAUAUGGAAAUCCAAUAGAUUUUUAAUUAAUUGAACAUAAAAAUUAGGGAUUUUCCCAGAACUCCAAAAGGGUCAACAUCCCUUUCACACGUUAGGCCCUGGUCUGAAAAGGCUCAUAUUUGGGGGUUGGUCUGGGGUUGGCAAAGCCCAGUUCUAGCUUGUUUGUCAGAAACGGUGGGGUCAGGCAAACAAGUGGAAGAUCCCUAAGAGAAAGGCGGGUUUCCUCUUUUGGAGCAUUCUGGAUAAAUCCCUAAGCAAUGUUAGUCCUCAGAUGUCAUUAAUGAUGUAUGUUGCCGUCUUUAAUUUUUUUCUUUUCUGAGAUUUUUUUUCUUCUCUUUGAAUCAACCCCUAGUCGUGUAGCGUAGGGCUAGUGGUUGUCCUGGACACCCUAGAAGAAUGUAGCACUGCACCCUUGUUUCCUACCUUAUGUUCAACUCCAGUGAUACCAAUAGACUAUUCCUCAGUAUAAUUGCACAAGCAAAGUGAUUUAACAUAGGCAUGGAACCAAUGUGGUGGUCCAGGUUAGCGAGUGAGUGUGCGUGAGCACGUGUGGGUGUGACCGGGGCUGCCACCUUGCAGUCUUGAUUUUACAUCAUUCCCUCCUAGUGCCUUAAUGACUGACAGACAGAGACACAGCAAAGGGUUUACUUCCACUGGUACUCCAAGAAACUGGUCGGGGCUGGUCAUUUGUGUGAGCUGGUAUAGUAUUGUACUUGGGUCUUUGUUUUUGCAUUGUUUUAAUGUCAUGUGGAUUGUCUUUCCUGGGCUCUUUGUGAGCAGAAGGAUUUCAAAGAAGCUGGCACAAUGGAAGGGGGAGAAUCGUGGAUCUCAGGAGGAGCAUGGGUGCUGUGUGUUGAGGCACACCGGUGACAGUUGGCUCUUUCGCUCAGGAGCUAGUCAGGCUCCUGGUUUCGCCAGCUCUCUCCCCUGUGGACCUCCACUGACCCUGAUCAAUCUACUGUGAAAGACUCUCCUCCUGAUACCUGUCCUCCUUCUGUAACGAAGCUUACUUAGCUUUUAGCUGUGAAAAACUCUGGGAACUUCCCCACCCAUUAAUUCUUAUAAAGUCAAGUCCCCAAACUGGAUGUGUCUCAGUGCACCUUGGGCCAAAAAAAAAGGAUACGCUAAGACUUGGGCGUGGUCUGACCACUGCAGCCCAGGACUUCCUGGGAGUGGACUGAAUGAUGCCAGCUAUGGUAGGGAGUUCCGAAUCUCUCAUCCUGGUCAGAACCAGCUCUGGCUGGAAGUGAGAUAGCUGGAAAACUGUCCAAGACAGUUGGGAGAGGGAUAAGGAGCUUUUGGAGCCUCUGAGCCAGAGGCUGCUAGAGCCCCAGCAGCAUGGAAAUUUGGCUGUCACAGAAGCUUCCAGCGGCUAGAUGGCAGCAUUUCCCACAGGACUGGCUCUCUCUCAACUGAGGGUGGGCCUAGACUUGCCCUGCUGUGCUGCAGCACUCUCUAGAGCUGGGAGGGCCGUCCUUGUCUGUCAUCUCUUGUCUGCUCACGUUGAAGCUUCUCAUUCUUCCACAGGUCCUUCCCCUUCUCUUCCAGGUCAGGAAUGAGUGUCCCUUGCUGCUCAUAAAGUUAGUGUUGUAUGAUUACUUGUAUUAUUGCCACUGUAAUUAUGAUUACUAUCUCCUCAUUGUUAUUCUAGUCAGGGUUUGAAGUAUACAUUUAUUCCAAGUAUCUCUGUGUUUUCUUCAUAAUAUUUAAAUUUAUUUUAUUCUAGCUGUGUGUAUAUACGUAGACUGGAGGGACAUAUAGAUUAGAUGUCCAACCUUGUCAGAGGAAAGAAAAGGAAAAUG
rnacentral:lncRNA from 1 species